UACGAGGGGGGCAAGCGUUGCUCGGAAUUAUUGGGCGGAAAGGGCAGGUAGGUGGUCUCGUUUGUCUAGGGUGAAAGCCUUGAGCUUAACUCAAGAAGUGCCCUAGAAACGGCGAGACUAGAGUUCUGGAGAGGGUCGUGGAAUUCCCGGUGUAGCGGUGAAAUGCGUAGAGAUCGGGAGGAACACCAGAGGCGAAGGCGGCGACCUGGACAGAUACUGACACUCAACUGCGAAAGCGUGGGGAGCAAACAGG
rnacentral:rRNA from 1 species